UGACCUCGAAUCAGGUAGGACUACCCGCUGAACUUAAGCAUAUCAAUAAGCGGAGAAAAAAAGGAACUGCUCUUUUCGAAACACAAGAAAAAAAUCUUGAAAAGAGAGAAUAAAAAUUUAUACACCCCUUGUAGGGCCAAUAGCAGCCCCCCAAGUAAGAAAGAGGGUCAAGGCCCACACCCACCACCCUAAAAAAUCCCCCAACCUAUAACUUAACUCCUCCCACCCAGGGGACAAAGAUACAAGGUUUCA
rnacentral:rRNA from 1 species